AGAGUUUGAUCAUGGCUCAGGACGAACGCUGGCGGCGUGCUUAACACAUGCAAGUCGAGCGGAAAGGCCACUUCGGUGGUACUCGAGCGGCGAACGGGUGAGUAACACGUGAGUAAUCUGCCCUUGGCUUAGGGAUAGCCACCGGAAACGGUGAUUAAUACCGGAUAUGACCACUUCUCGCAUGGGAUGGUGGUGGAAAGUUUUUCGGCCAGGGAUGGUGCUCGCGGCCUAUCAGCUUGAUGGUGAGGUAAUGGCUCACCAUGGCUUCGACGGGUAGCCGGCCUGAGAGGGUGACCGGUCACACUGGGACUGAGACACGGCCCAGACUCCUACGGGAGGCAGCAGUGGGGAAUAUUGGACAAUGGGCGGAAGCCUGAUCCAGCAACGCCGCGUGAGGGAUGACGGCCUUCGGGUUGUAAACCUCUUUCGCCUAUGACGAAGCGCAAGUGACGGUAAUAGGUAAAGAAGCACCGGCCAACUACGUGCCAGCAGCCGCGGUAAUACGUAGGGUGCGAGCGUUGUCCGGAAUUAUUGGGCGUAAAGGGCUCGUAGGCGGUUUGUCGCGUCGGGAGUGAAAACCAGGUGCUUAACACCUGGCUUGCUUUCGAUACGGGCAGACUAGAGGUAUGCAGGGGAGAACGGAAUUCCUGGUGUAGCGGUGAAAUGCGCAGAUAUCAGGAGGAACACCGGUGGCGAAGGCGGUUCUCUGGGCAUGACCUGACGCUGAGGAGCGAAAGUGUGGGGAGCGAACAGGAUU
rnacentral:rRNA from 1 species